AUUGAACGCUGGCGGCAGGCCUAACACAUGCAAGUCGAACGGUAACAGGAAGCAGCUUGCUGCUUCGCUGACGAGUGGCGGACGGGUGAGUAAUGUCUGGGAAGCUGCCUGAUAGAGGGGGAUAACUACUGGAAACGGUAGCUAAUACCGCAUAAUGUCGCAAGACCAAAGAGGGGGACCUUCGGGCCUCUUGCCAUCGGAUGUGCCCAGAUGGGAUUAGCUUGUUGGUGGGGUAACGGCUCACCAAGGCGACGAUCCCUAGCUGGUCUGAGAGGAUGACCAGCCACACUGGAACUGAGACACGGUCCAGACUCCUACGGGAGGCAGCAGUGGGGAAUAUUGCACAAUGGGCGCAAGCCUGAUGCAGCCAUGCCGCGUGUAUGAAGAAGGCCUUCGGGUUGUAAAGUACUUUCAGCGGGGAGGAAGGGAGUAAAGUUAAUACCUUUGCUCAUUGACGUUACCCGCAGAAGAAGCACCGGCUAACUCCGUG
rnacentral:rRNA from 1 species